ACGCUGGCGGCACGCCUAACACAUGCAAGUCGAACGAAGUAGCAAUACUUAGUGGCAGACGGGUGAGUAACAUGUAGGUAUCUGCCCUUUGGCCUGGAAUAACACGAGGAAACUUGUGCUAAUACCGGAUAAGUCUUUACGGAGAAAGCUUUAUGCACCAUUGGAUGAGCCUGCACUUGAUUAGUUUGUUGGUGGGGUAAUGGCCUACCAAGACUGUGAUCAAUAGCUGAUUUGAGAGGAUGAUCAGCCACAUUGGGACUGAGACACGGCCCAAACUCCUACGGGAGGCAGCAGUGGGGAAUCUUGCACAAUGGAGGAAACUCUGAUGCAGCGAUGCCGCGUGAGUGAAGAAGGCCCUUGGGUUGUAAAGCUCUUUCGUCGGGGAAGAAAAUGACUGUACCCGAAUAAGAAGGUCCGGCUAACUUCGUGCCAGCAGCCGCGGUAAUACGAAGGGACCUAGCGUAGUUCGGAAUUACUGGGCUUAAAGAGUUCGUAGGUUGUUGAAAAAGUUGGUGGUGAAAUCCCAGAGCUUAACUCUGGAACUGCCAUCAAAACUUUUCAGCUAGAGUAUGAUAGAGGAAAGCAGAAUUUCUAGUGUAGAGGUGAAAUUCGUAGAUAUUAGAAAGAAUACCAAUUGCGAAGGCAGCUUUCUGGAUCAUUACUGACACUGAGGAACGAAAGCAUGGGUAGCGAAGAGGAUUAGAUACCCUCGUAGUCCAUGCCGUAAACGAUGUGUGUUAGACGUUGGAAAUUUAUUUUCAGUGUCGCAGCGAAAGCAAUAAACACACCGCCUGGGGAGUACGACC
rnacentral:rRNA from 1 species